rnacentral:rRNA from 1 species
UCCAGUGAAGUGCGAGGGGAAAUCGUAACCCUAGAGCCCAACACUCACAUGGCGCCCUCGCGCCGCCGCGCGCGGUCGAGCGAGCCGGCGGCGGACCUGCUGACCUCCCUGCCGCCGCCCCUGCUCGACAGCAUCCUCGCUCGCCUCGACCUCCGCGAGGCCGUCCGCACCUUCGCGCUCUCUCGCGCCUGGCGCCGCCGUUGGGUGGACCUCCCCUGCCUCUCCCUCGGCCUCAUCGGCAAGGGUGGCAUACCCGCGGUGGCCGUCGACAGCGUUCUCCUUCGCUACCCCGGCAACAUCUCGAAUUUCUCCAUCCGCUCCCUCGACACGCACUCCGUCCGCCGCGUCGACGACUGACUCAUCGCCCUCUGCAACCGCGGCGUCAGGUCCAUCGAUCUCCAUGCCCCAGACUUAGCUCUUCACUCUUCUGUCUUCUUAUGCACGAGUCUCGUGUGCCUGAAGCUGCACUUCUGCUUGAUACCUCCUCUCCCCGUGGAAUUCACUGGCUUCCCCGUGCUGGAGCAGCUCAAUCUCAUGGCCGUCAAAUUCCCUCAUAAUGGGGAGAUCCAACUGGAGGCGAUUAUCAACGCGUCACCCUUGCUUAAUACCCUGACUCUUUCCUAUGUCGAUACACGCAGCGAGGCCUUCCCCGGUUGGGUGAUUGGGGGGGCCAAUCUCCGGAGCCUAACUAUCGUUUCCAAUGAUAAUCAUGGCUGGCAAGUCGCCGAGCUACCAAAUCUCCACGAAGGCACCAUCAAUUUGGAAUACUGUGAUAACUUUAGUGAUUUCGGAGGACUUCUUGCUGGGCUUGCUCAAGCUCGGAAGCUCACUCUAAAUAAGUGCUACCCAUCGUUCACAGAGGAUCAUAUCCUGGAAACACUUGCAUGCACCUUUGACAACUUAAAGAGUUUAACCCUCUGGACUCACUUUGAGGAAAUGCCUACCAUUUUGUCAACCUUUUGCAUGUUGAGGAAUGCUCCUAACCUUGAAGAACUUGAUAUAAUGGUACAAACUAAACACACUGCCUUGUAUCUUUAUCCUACAUAUGUUGUUUUGGAGGUUGGCAUGCUACUCGUAUGAUUUAUACGUUUGGUUUAUUUUUCACGAUCGAUGUUUUUUCGGAUGAGGAAAAUGAAGCAAAUGGGGAGUUUCAGAAUGCAGAAUGGACCGACGGCAUGUGUCCCAACCUUCAAGUUGUGCGAUUGACGGGUGUUCUCUGUUCGUCAAAUGAAAUGUGUUUUAUACAGCUUCUUUUAUCUAAAGCUACAGUUCUUCGCAUUAUGUCUAUUAAUCUUGGUUACGGAAGCUUAAAGUCUAGUGAAGAUGCACUGCGUGAACUGAUAACAUAUAGAAGAGCUUCACCCCAUGCUCAAAUCUUCUUCGACGGCAAAUAGGGUGCAUUUCUGGGCGUGUGCAGACGACAUUCAUGUUGCUCGCCUGUGUAAGAUGUUGUCAUUUUCAUCUCCACCAUUCGGGUCACUUGAACAGAACAGAAAUAUUGGGUCACGUUCAGUUACCAGCAUUCCGGAUUCGCGGGGAGGUAGCUAAUGUUCCUUUUAAAUGUAGCUAGUUUGUAUGAAAGGGAGAACAAUUGUUCCCAGGGGCACAAAUGAAAUGACGAGCGGCAGGUGCACCGACCGUGGCUUCAGGGAAUUGAACAAUCCCCAGCAUGAGCUGAUCCAUGGAGGUUGGCUCUCAUGUCUCGUCGGCACCAUAGCGACUUUGCGAGUGGCAAUUAAUUGAUUGAGUACGUGUGCUAGAAUAUCAUAGUCAGUGUUGACCUACGCUCAGCUGAAUUGUUGAUUCGUAGAUACUCACCCAGAGUACAGAUCAGUUUUUAAGCCGCCUAUCCAUCAUUGAUUUCCAGCAAUCGUGCGUGCCAUACGCGUAGAUGGUGGUUGGCGGAGGGUUAGCAUUUGGCCAGCCAUAUGACAAACUGUGCAAUUAGAUUAGUUUUUUCUUAACUGUUCAAACACGAUGAAAUUUGGCAUGGAGAUUUGCUGCUCACCGAGAGCAGAUGACCCUGGG